CCUACGGGUGGCAGCAGUAGGGAAUAUUGCUCAAUGGGGGAAACCCUGAAGCAGCAACGCCGCGUGGAGGAUGAAGGUUUUCGGAUUGUAAACUCCUUUUGUUAGAGAAGAUAAUUACGGUAUCUAACGCAUAAUCACCGGCUAACUCCGUGCCAGCAGCCGCGGUAAUACGGAGGGUGCAAGCGUUACUCGGAAUUACUGGGCGUAAAGGGAGCGUAGACGGGUUAGCAAGUCAGAUGUGAAAUCCUAUGGCUUAACCAUAGAACUGCAAUUGAAACUGGUAGUCUAGAGUAUGGGAGAGGUAGGUGGAAUUCGUGGUGUAGGGGUAAAAUCCGUAGAGAUCAAGAAGAAUACUGAUUGCGAAGGCGACCUGCUAGAACGUAACUGACACUGAUGCGCGAAAGCGUGGGGAGCAAACAGGAUUAGAUACCCGAGUAGUC
rnacentral:rRNA from 1 species